AACGCGAAGAACCUUACCUACCCUUGACAUACAGAGAACUUUCUAGAGAUAGAUUGGUGCCUUCGGGAACUCUGAUACAGGUGCUGCAUGGCUGUCGUCAGCUCGUGUCGUGAGAUGUUGGGUUAAGUCCCGUAACGAGCGCAACCCUUAUCCUUAGUUGCUACCAUUUAGUUGGGCACUCUAAGGAGACUGCCGGUGAUAAACCGGAGGAAGGUGGGGACGACGUCAGGUCAUCAUGGCCCUUAUGGGUAGGGCUACACACGUGCUACAAUGGCCGGUACAGAGGGCCGCAAACUCGCGAGAGUAAGCUAAUCCCUUAAAGCCGGUCCUAGUCCGGAUUGCAGUCUGCAACUCGACUGCAUGAAGCUGGAAUCGCUAGUAAUCGCGGAUCAGAAUGCCGCGGUGAAUUCGUUCCCGGGUCUGUACACACCG
rnacentral:rRNA from 1 species